AACGAACGCUGGCGGUGCGUUUUAAGCAUGCAAGUCGAACGGCAAGAAGGUGCUUGCAAUUUCCUAGAGUGGCGGACUGGUGAGUAACGCGUGGGUGAUCUACCUUUAAGAUGGGGAUAGCUUUUAGAAAUAAGAGAUAAUACCGAAUAUGCUUACGAUGUUUUGACGUUGUAAGGAAAGGAGCGUUUGCUCCGCUUGAAGAUGAGCCUGCGUCCCAUUAGCUAGUUGGUGGGGUAAAGGCCUACCAAGGCAAUGAUGGGUAUCCGGCCUGAGAGGGUGACCGGACACAUUGGGACUGAGAUACGGCCCAAACUCCUACGGGAGGCAGCAGCUGAGAAUCUUCCGCAAUGGACGAAAGUCUGACGGAGCGACACCGCGUGAAUGAUGAAGGCCGAAAGGUUGUAAAGUUCUUUUGCAGACAAAGAAUAAGGAUAGUAGGAAAUAACUGUCUGAUGACGGUAGUUAUGCGAAUAAGCCCCGGCUAAUUACGUGCCAGCAGCCGCGGUAAUACGUAAGGGGCGAGCGUUGUUCGGAAUUAUUGGGCGUAAAGGGCAUGUAGGCGGUUUAGUAAGCCUGAUGUGAAAUCUACGAGCUUAACUCGUAAACUGCAUUGGGUACUGCUUAACUAGAGUUAUGGAGGGGAAACUGGAAUUCCAAGUGUAGGGGUGGAAUCUGUAGAUAUUUGGAAGAACACCGGUGGCGAAGGCGGGUUUCUAGCCAAUAACUGACGCUGAUAUGCGAAGGUGCGGGGAGCAAACAGGAUUAGAUACCCUGGUAGUCCGCACAGUAAACUAUGUACACUAGAUGUUGGGGUAAGACUCAGUGUUGAAAGCAAACGCAAUAAGUGUACCGCCUGGGGAGUAUGCCCGCAAGGGUGAAACUCCAAAGAAUUGACGGGGGCCCACACAAGCGGUGG
rnacentral:rRNA from 1 species